GUCGUGUUGCCCGCGAGCGCGCGCUAGCGAAUCAGCAACUGCAGCCCGUAAUGCAACUGCCAAAUCGCUAGCGUACAGGCACAGUCACGCCUAGCGGGCUGAUAAGCUGCGCGGACUGAAUCCGACAGUGUUUUGCGAUGGCUUUCACGCAUUGGUGUGCGGCGCUUGGCUGCAAAAGCGCCGACUGGAAAAACGAAAAGAUGCGACACGUGUUACCUCGUGAUGUCACCUUGCGAAAUGCCUAGCUUGAGCACAUCGGAGUUACAGCACAAUCAAAGCGCAACAGUGUUGUACGUGUUUGUGGGCGCCACUUCGCUGCUGAAGACUACCAUUACGACCCACGCCUGCUGCAGGAGUUUGGCUCCGGUUUUCUACCACGCCUGAGAACAAAC
rnacentral:lncRNA from 1 species